GACGAACGCUGGCGGCGUGCCUAAUACAUGCAAGUAGAACGCUGAAACUUGGUGCUUGCACCGAGCGGAUGAGUUGCGAACGGGUGAGUAACGCGUAGGUAACCUGCCUGGUAGCGGGGGAUAACUAUUGGAAACGAUAGCUAAUACCGCAUAAGAGUAUAUGUUGCAUGACAUUUGCUUAAAAGGUGCAAUUGCACCACUACCAGAUGGACCUGCGUUGUAUUAGCUAGUUGGUGGGGUAACGGCUCACCAAGGCGACGAUACAUAGCCGACCUGAGAGGGUGAGCGGCCACACUGGGACUGAGACACGGCCCAGAGGCCUACGGGAGGCAGCAGUAGGGAAUCUUCGGCAAGGGACGGAAGUCUGACCGAGAAACGCCGCGGGAGUGAAGAAGGUUUUCGGAUCGUAAAGCUCGGUUGUAAGAGAAGAACGAGUGUGAGAGUGGAAAGUUCACACUGUGACGGUAGCUGACCAGAAAGGGACGGCUAACUACGUG
rnacentral:rRNA from 1 species